rnacentral:rRNA from 1 species
CUAAAUACUCCUGGGUGACCGAUAGCGAAGUAGUAUCGUGAGGGAAAGGUGAAAAGAACCCCCUUCUAUAUGGGUUGCCCGGGACUCAAACCCGGAACUAGUCGGAUGGAGUAGAUAAUUCUUCCUUGUUACAAUAGAGAAAAUCCCUCCCCAAAUCGUGCUUGCAUUUUUCAU